rnacentral:rRNA from 1 species
AGUUUGAUCCUGGCUCAGAAUCAACGCUGGCGGCGUGCCUAAUACAUGCAAGUCGUACGCGAAGACCCCGCAAGGGGUUGUUAGCGUGGCAAACGGGUGAGUAACGCGUGGGCGACCUGCCUUCGAGUGGGGGAUAACCUUCCGAAAGGAGGGCUAAUACCGCAUGACAUACUGCGCUUGGAUGCGCGGAUAUCAAAGCCGGGGAUCGCAAGACCUGGCGCUUGAAGAGGGGCCUACGUCCGAUUAGCUAGUUGGUGGGGUAAUGGCUCACCAAGGCGACGAUCGGUAUCCGGCCUGAGAGGGCGGACGGACACACUGGAACUGAGACACGGUCCAGACUCCUACGGGAGGCAGCAGUAGGGAAUUGUUCGCAAUGGGCGCAAGCCUGACGACGCAACGCCGCGUGGAGGAUGAAGGGCUUCGGCUCGUAAACUCCUUUCGACCGAGAUGAAUACCCGCAGAGCUAAUAUCUUUGUGGACUGACAGUAUCGAGGGAAGAAGCCCCGGCUAACUCCGUGCCAGCAGCCGCGGUAAUACGGGGGGGGCAAGCGUUGUUCGGAAUUACUGGGCGUAAAGGGUUCGUAGGUGGUCAACUAAGUCAUACGUGAAAUCCCUCAGCUUAACUGGGGAACUGCGUCUGAUACUGGUUGACUUGAGUGCAGGAGAGGAACGCGGAAUUCCAGGUGUAGCGGUGAAAUGCGUAGAUAUCUGGAGGAACACCGGUGGCGAAGGCGGCGUUCU